rnacentral:rRNA from 1 species
AUGGCCGGCGGUGAAGAGCUGAAGCUGCUGGGGUGGGGGGCGCCUGGGGUAAGCCCCUUCGUGCUGCGCGCACAGAUGGCGCUCGCCGUAAAGGGGCUAAGCUACAAGUACCUCCCGGAGGACCGCUGGUGCAAGAGCGACCUCCUCGUCGCGUCAAACCCCGUGUACAAGAAGGUGCCCGUCCUCAUCCACAACGGCAAGCUCAUCUGCGAGUCGCUGCUCAUCGUGGAGUACCUCGACGACGCCCUCGGCCUUCCUGGCAACGGCAAGCCCAUCCUCCCCGCAGACCCCUACAGCCGCGCCGUCGCUCGCUUCUGGGCCGCCUAUGCGAACGACAAGGUUAGUAGUUCAUUUCAUACACGGAUUACCUCCCGUUGCGCUUGGAGUUACAUCUCUCAGUCUCAACUCGCUUUGUUGCCACAGCUAUUCCCUUCGUGCAUCGGCAUCCUCAGGACAGCGAAGCAGGAGGAGAAAGCCAGUAAGGUGGAGGAGACCCUAUCGGGGCUCCAACACUUGGAAGGUGUCCUGGCAGAGUGCUCCAAAGGGAGGCAGAGGCCGAGGCGCCGUUCUUCGGUGGUGGCUCCAUCGGGUUCCUUGACAUCGCGCUCGGGUGCUACCUUCCCUGGUUUGAGGCAGUAG